CCUACGGGUGGCAGCAGUGAGGAAUAUUGGUCAAUGGACGAGAGUCUGAACCAGCCAAGUAGCGUGAAGGAUGACUGCCCUAUGGGUUGUAAACUUCUUUUAUAUGGGAAUAAAAUGUUCCACGUGUGGGCUUUUGUAUGUACCAUAUGAAUAAGGCUCGGCUAACUCCGUGCCAGCAGCCGCGGUAAUACGGAGGAUCCGAGCGUUAUCCGGAUUUAUUGGGUUUAAAGGGAGCGUAGGUGGAUUGUUAAGUCAGUUGUGAAAGUUUGCGGCUCAACCGUAAAAUUGCAGUUGAAACUGGCAGUCUUGAGUACAGUAGAGGUGGGCGGAAUUCGUGGUGUAGCGGUGAAAUGCUUAGAUAUCAAGAAGAACUCCGAUUGCGAAGGCAGCUCACUGGACUGCAACUGACACUGAGGCUCGAAAGUGUGGGUAUCAAACAGGAUUAGAUACCCUGGUAGUC
rnacentral:rRNA from 1 species